CCUGGUUGAUCCUGCCAGUAGUCAUAUGCUUGUUUCAAGGACUAAGCCAUGCAAGUCUCAGAAUAAAUGGAUCACAGUGAGUCUGCAGACAGCUCAUUAAAUCAGCUCCAAUCUACGCCGAGAAACUGCCUUUUGGCAGACUAUUGGAUAACUUUGGUAACCCCAAAGCUAAUACAUGUCAGCAAGACCCGCACAGGCUCAACCCUGGGGCCUUGGUUCCGGGGCUGUGUUGGGUGCAAUUGACCGAAACAAAAACCAACGCUAGCGAUAGCAGCGGUGAUUUGAUGAUUCAGGUCAAUCGAGUAGUAGCGCAUACCUCGGUGGCGCUUGUCGGUACGAGGAUCUGCCCUAUCAGCUUUUGACGGUAGUGUAGUGGACUACCGUGGCUGUAACGGGUAACGGGGAAUUAGGGUUCGAUUCCGGAGAGGGAGCCUGAGAAACGGCUACCACAACUAAGGUUGGCAGCAGGCGCGCAAAUUGCCCAAUAGCAACACAUCGCUGAGGCAGCGAAGAGAAAUAGCAACUUCAUGCGGUUCUCCCGUGUGAAGAUUGCCAUGGACGAUAUCUAAACCUGUCGAUGAGUAUCAAUUGGUGGACAAGUCUGGUGCCAGCACCCGCGGUAAUUCCAGCACCAAUAGCGUAUAUUAAUGCUGCUGCUGUUAAAAAGCUCGUAGUUGGAUCAAGAGUUGGACAGUGCACGGCGGCCUCGUUUGUUAGUCUGGCUCCGGUCAGGCUAGCGGCGAUGGAACAACCCCGUGCGCCAAACUGUCCACUCUAACAGGCCGAAACGGUUCCCUGUGAGUAGGCUCCUUCAUUGGGGCUGAAAGCGCCUACGCAUCAACCAUAUGCAUACGGGACGUCGGCCAAUGUUACUGUGAACAAACCAGCGUGUCCAAAGCAGGCUCCCGCCUGAAUGUUCGAGCAUGGAAUAACAAGGGAUCGGUUCUCUCGGUUCUUUUUGUUGGUUUUUAACCCGAGAAGAAGUAAUUCAGGCCACGGUGUCUGAGUUGAGUUUCCCUGGCUCUCGGGUCAGGCCUCAACUAGGCCGUGUCCUUACGGGAUCAAUAGGGACUGACGGGGUCGUACGUACUUCCGCGUCAGAGGUGAAAUUCUUAGAUCGCGGGAAGACGAACUUCUGCGAAAGCAUUCGACAAGAAUGUCUUCAUUAAUCAAGAACGAGAGUGUGGGGAUCGAAGAUGAUCAGAUACCGUCGUAGUCCACACUGUAAACAAUGCCGUCUCAGGAUUGAGAAGUGAACCUAAUGACUUUCACAGCACUAACCCCUGAAACGAGAAAUCAAAGAUUAUGGGUUCAGGGGGGAGUACAUUCGCAAGGCUGAAACUUAAAGGAAUUGACGGAAUGACACCACAAGGCGUGGAGUAUGCGGCUUAAUUUGACUCAACACGGGGAAUUUUACUAGGUCAGGACAAUGUAAGGAUUGACAGAUUGAGAGCUCUUUCUCGAUCC
rnacentral:rRNA from 1 species